GUCAUGACAAUGCAGUUUUUAUUAAUCCACAAGCGCAAGAGAACGACAAGACUCGUAGUACUGAGGAAUCACGGAGUAACACAAACGACGCGUUCUAGUUUUUCUAGGACACAGCUCUUAUCCAAAAACCUCAAACAACUUUGAUCGCCCAGGUCAUGAAAG